rnacentral:lncRNA from 1 species
GGGCUUGGAGUGGCGGGACAGGGGAACCCAGAGACUAGAGACGACCAAGAGGCUGUCUCUGCCCAGCCUUCUCAGCCAGCCCUCUCUCGCUGGGGCCUCUGGGCUCUGCCCUGCUGUUCUCUCCUCCAUGUGUGUCUUUAGCCUGCUUCCCUGCUCUGCCCCCAAGACAAUGACCCCAGAAGUCCUACAGGCACCUCCAGGAAUCAGAACUGAGCUACCCUCCCACCCCACUAUCUGCCUCCCAUCCUCUCCUCUGUCCCGAAAGCUCCUCACCAGUCCUCAGGGAUCCUGAUUAAAGCACUCCUGAAGCAUUCCUUGGGGCAAGGGUCAACUGUUUAAAAAAAAAAAAAAUUGCACCCCCUAAACCUUGAGAAUGGUUUUACUUGGUAAACUUAUUAAGGACUAUCGCCUGGGGCUGCAGCGGCUCAGAGAGCCCCGAGGCACCAACCUCCCAAAGAGAAAAGGGAGGAGCCAGGAUAGACGGGAGUGAGUUUUUGCUGAAAACAAGCAACGCAUUGAGCACCAAAAGAACACUGCGAAUCACAAAAACCAAACAUCUCAAGUUACUGGUUUUAGUGCUUUGUAUGGGAAGGUGCCAGAGUCUGUGCUCAUUGGAAUCAUUCCUUUGAUGUGUAUCUUAACUCUCUGGGGCCAGUAUCCUGCUCCCCGCAUCCUGAGUUCUCUCUGGGUGCAGCCAACAUCAGGGCGCAGCAGUUCUGGGUGGCGUGAUGGGCACAGUGUCCUUUGUUUACUGAAAUGACAGGUGACAUUCUGUGUCCACACAAGGGUUUGGGGCCCCUCUUUCGUCCUCUCCCAGGAUUCCAUGCCUGGGAAGGUAGCCCUGGUGGGCCUGGGCCAGGAGCAAGCUUCAAGUGAGCUCCCAGCAGGAGGCUGAACCUCUCUGUACCUCAGUUUCCUGAGUGUGAAAUGGGGGAACAGUGAUUUCAGAUUAACGGUGCCGGAGUAUGAAGGUGGGGUCUAGUUCAGGGGCAGCAGGGCGAUGUGGCAAGCUGUCAGCAGAACCACCUCUUCCCGGGGUGAGAGCUCCACUGGGUGGUCUGAGAUGCCUUUGUGCCCGGCGACCCUGCCAGGACUGGGCUCAGCCACCAAAUCCCACUGGUUCCUCCUCCAUCUGGGCUGGCGGCUCCUGGCCUUAUCCCUCUGUGCUCCAGGCAAACAGGACUAGAGAGUUUCCCAAACACAAGCUCGAUGUUCCUGCCCCGCCCCUCUAGGACCACCUUCCACACUUGAACUCCACCCAGCCUGCAAGGCCCAGCUCCACAAAGGGCCCCUGGACCCGCCUGGCCCGAAGGGGUCCCAGCCUCCCUGGCAGCCUCCACACUGCCUCCACCACGAAUCAGCAUGUGUUUAAAUGUCAGUCCCUGGGACUGCCUUGCACAUAGUAGGGAGUCAGCAAAUGUGCUAUUAAUAGUGGCCAAAUGACACCCAGGAAAGUAACUCACAUAUUUCCUUGAUUUUAAAAUGCCACCACGUAAGCUGCACCGUCAACUUAAUAACAGCUUUUCAGGAAAGAAUGAACUGCCCACCUUGCAUCAGAGCACCAGCUGAUGCUGUGCACCGCUUGUAGGUUGUGUGUUGCGUCAGCAUCUCAGAAAUGUUAAGAUGGGAACAAAUCAGCAUCUCCCAGGGGAGGAAGCCUGGUGAUAAACGCGAGACGUGAAGGCUUUUCUCUGCUUGUGGCUCUGGGGAGAGGAUGUUCCCUGCUGAGGGGGGUCCUGCAGGACCCCCCUCAGCAGGGCUUAGCCAGUCCCCAGGGAAGCGACAGAGCCAGAACCCCCAGCCUGCCGCCUGGGUUGGGGGCUUGCUGCACAAACUUGGGGUUCCGGCCUCUGAGCCUGACAGAGUGCGCCACCUCGUGUCCAUGAGCAGAAGUGCAGGGGCCAGACAACCUGCCUGCUGGGCCAGCCCGCCACCCUGACCCACCCCGUCCUUGCCCUGCAGCCUCUGGGUGCCAGCCCAGUUAGGACCUCCUUAGCAGCCCAGCCUUCUAUCCCUUUGGGAAGGAAACUGGGUCUGCUAGCCUAGAUCUAGGCUCUGGACCUUACCUGCUGUGUGACCCUGGCAAGUUCCUCUACCUCUCUGUGCCUCAACUCCCCUUCUUUGCAGGGUGGUGGCCGGGCCGCCUUCCUUCUUGCCCCUCACUCCACAGACAUGCAGACCUGGCCCUCAAUCUUGCGGUGGAGGAAGACUGUGCCUGAGCUGCCAGCUGGGGCGUCCAGCAGAGCUGGGGGAGCAGAGGAAGCCUCCACUGCAUCCCGGAGGGCCGGGGGCUUCUCAGAGGAGGGGCUUUCAAGCCAAGACGGGCAUCUGAGGAGGGGCAGGCCUGGCAGCCGCCAGGGAGAGGAGGUCGUGGAGGGGUGACCAGCCUCUCUGUCUCCCCUGGGCCUGAGUGGUCAGUCAUGGGCGGGGGCGGUGGCUUAAGGGAUGGUAAGAGAGCCAGCUGAAGGUGGGUCACGGCAACACUAUCCAGAGUUAUUAUGAGAAAAAUAGUAAGGCAGAGAGUUAUGAUGCUACGGACCAGCUCUGUCCACUGUCCCAUGGAACUUUCUAGAAGGAUGGAAAUACUCAGCAGCUGUGUAGCCCGAAGCAGUAGUCACAUGGAGUUACUGAGCAUUUAAAAUGUGGCUGGGGAGUUCCCACUGUGGCUCAGCAGAAACAAACCCAACUAAUAGCCACGAUGCAGGUUUGAUCCCUGGCCUUGCUCAGUGGGUUAAGGAUCUGACAUUGCCCAGAGCUGUGGUGUGGGUUGCAGGCGCGGCUCAGAUCCCACGUUGGUAUGGCUGUGGCGUAGGCUGACAGCUGCAGCUCUGAUUCGACCCUUAGCCUGGGAACUUCCACAUGCCGCAGGUGCGGCCCUAAAAAGACAGAAACAAAUUUAAACGGUUACCCUUGAAGAGGAAAGGAGUAAAAGCAGAAAGCUCACCUUUGAAAAUAAUCCGGAGUUCCCAUCAUGGCUCAGAGGUUAACAAACCCGACUUGUGUCCCCGAGGAUGCGGGUUGAUCCCUGGCCUCGCUCAGUGGGUUAAGGAUCCAGCGUUGCUGUGGUUGUGAUAUAGGCCAGCAGCCAUAGCUCCAAUUCGACCUCUAGCCUAGGAACCUCCAUAUCUCGUGGGUGUGGC